rnacentral:pre_miRNA from 1 species
CAUUUAUUAUCUUCGUCUCAAAUUAUUUGUCUUAAAAUUUUCUAAAUAUGGAUGUAUCUCUAACACAAAUACAUGUCUAGAUACAUCGUUUCUUCACAAAACUAAAGACAAGUAAUUCAAGAUGGAGGGAGUACUGU